rnacentral:tRNA from 1 species
UCUAAUGUGGCAGACUAAUUGCAAGGAAUUUAAGAUUCCUUUAUAAAUAUUUAUAUUUCUUUAGAA